ACCCGUCUUGAAACACGGACCAAGGAGUCUAACAUGUGCGCGAGUCAUUGGGAAUGGAAACCUAAAGGCGCAAUGAAAGUGAAGGCCUCGCCUCGCGCGGGCAGAGGGGAGAUGGAGCGAGACCGCCGGUACCGGCUCCCGCAUCCCCGGGGCGUCUCGUUCUCACUGCGAGUUGAGGCGCACCCAGAGCGUACACGUUGGGACCCGAAAGAUGGUGAACUAUGCCUGGCCAGGACGAGGUCAGGGGAAACCCUGGUGGAGGUCCGUAGCGAUUCUGACGUGCAAAUCGAUCGUCGGAGCUGGGUAUAGG
rnacentral:rRNA from 1 species